UUCCAUCGCGACCCCAGGUCAGGCGGGACUACCCGCUGAGUUU
rnacentral:rRNA from 1 species